CCUGUCCAGGUGAUCCCUGUCUUCACCUUAGUCAGCUGGGAUAGAUUCCAGCCCCCCAUGACCCUAAUGAGGAAUAAGCGCUUAGAGAUCCGGCUCCAUCUGCUGAGGACUCGCCUGGUGCAGGUGGAGGAUCGGAGCAGCUAUCUAGUGUCCAGUGUGAUUCACUCCAUCACCAGAACGAUGCAGUGUUCGAACCUCAUGCAUACCCGGCGCCUGGUGGGAGAUGGAACACCCAGAUGACUGAUGUUCCCUUCAACCUGAGGGAAAUCACUCGUAGUGUGACUGCAGCAAGGUGCAUGCAGAGUCCAUGGAGGGAGAUAGUGUUCACUGUUGGGACUGCCC
ensembl:lncRNA